UACAGAGGUCCCGAGCGUUGUUCGGAUUCACUGGGCGUAAAGGGUGCGUAGGUGGCGGGGUAAGUCUGAUGUGAAAGCUUCGAGCUCAACUCGAAAAUGGCAUUGGAUACUAUUCUGCUAGAGGGUUGGAGGGGGGACUGGAAUUCUCGGUGUAGCAGUGAAAUGCGUAGAUAUCUGGAGGAACACCGGUGGCGAAGGCGGCAUCCUGGACCGAGAUUGACGCUGAGGCGCGAAAGCUAGGGUAGCAAACGGG
rnacentral:rRNA from 1 species